rnacentral:misc_RNA from 1 species
GGGAUAUUGGCAUGUCACCUUCCAUUGUUGGAUCGUUUGCCAGGAAGGAAGCCGAAUUAGUUGAGUUUUUCAUGGAUGAUUGCUUACAGCGGCUCAUCGAUCUAAUUGAGGCAGGAGAGGGCCUUAAGAAUUUGAUACUUCGUGAACGUAUUUACAAGCUUGUUAGGGCUCGUCUAGAAUUGCAAGCUCCCUUCAUAUCCAAAUGGGCUCAGGCUCUCAGUAUCCAGGCACAACCAGCAAAUCUAGCAACUAGCUUUAAACAACGGGCGAUGCUUGUUGAUGAGAUAUGGCAUGCUGCUGGUGGCGACACCUCUGACAUUGAUUGGUA